rnacentral:rRNA from 1 species
GAACUGAAGAGUUUGAUCCUGGCUCAGAUUGAACGCUGGCGGCAUGCCUUACACAUGCAAGUCGAACGGUAACGCGGGGCAACCUGGCGACGAGUGGCGAACGGGUG